AUUGAACGCUGGCGGCAGGCCUAACACAUGCAAGUCGAGCGGUAGAGAGAAGCUUGCUUCUCUUGCGAGCGGCGGACGGGUGAGUAAUGCCUAGGAAUCUGCCAGGUAGUGGGGGAUAACGUUCGGAACCGGAAGCUAAUACCGCAUCCGUCCUACGGGAGAAAGCAGGGGACCUUCGGGCCUUGCGCUAUCAGAUGAGCCUAGGUCGGAUUAGCUAGUUGGUGGGGUAAUGGCUCACCAAGGCGACGAUCCGUAACUGGUCUGAGAGGAUGAUCAGUCACACUGGAACUGAGACACGGUCCAGACUCCUACGGGAGGCAGCAGUGGGGAAUAUUGGACAAUGGGCGAAAGCCUGAUCCAGCCAUGCCGCGUGUGUGAAGAAGGUCUUCGGAUUGUAAAGCACUUUAAGUUGGGAGGAAGGGCAGUAAAUUAAUACUUUGCUGUUUUGACGUUACCGACAGAAUAAGCACCGGCUAACUCUGUG
rnacentral:rRNA from 1 species